rnacentral:lncRNA from 1 species
ACAAUGUGGUGCUACAGUAACCAUUCGCUAAUGAUGGAUUAAUUAGGCUUAAUAGAUUCGUCUCGCGAUUUAGCCUAGGGGUUGUGCAAUUAGUUUUAUAAUUAGACUAUGUGUAAUACUCCUAAUUAGUGUCCAAACAUCCGAUGUGACAGGUGCUAAAAUUUAGCACCUGCUAUCCAAACACCCCCUUUGUCUCUUUUCGUUUCAUCAGUUAUCGGCUCCUUCUGUAAAACCAACCUUGGGUAUUUCCGUUCGGC